UUUACUUUUUCUUUGUACCAUCCUAUUGUAGACAACCUCAAAAUGCAAUUUAUUUUUUCAUCAUAAGUACAAUUGUGUAGUCCUGAUUCUCUUAAAAUUCACAAUCAAGACAAGUAGAGAGGCGUUAUUGACAGCCUUUUACUGCGAAUCAAGACAAGUAGAGAGGCGCUAUUAACAACCUUUUACUGCGAAUCAACACAAGUAGAGAGGCGUUAUUAACAGCCUCUUACUGCGAAUUAAGACAAGCAGAGUGGCGCUAUUAAUAGCCUCAACUGCGAAUCAAGACAAGUAUAGAGGUGCUAUUAACAGCCUCUUACUGAAUCAAGACUAGUGGAUAGGCGCUAUUAACAGCCUCUUACUGCGAAUCAAGACAAGUAGAGAGGUGUUAUUAACAGCCUCUUACUGCGAAUCAAGACAGGUAGAGAGGCGUUAUUAACAGCCUCUCACUGCGAAUCAAGACAAGUAGAGAGGCGCUAUUAACAACCUUUUACUGCGAAUCAACACAAGUAGAGAGGCGUUAUUAACAGCCUCUUACUGCGAAUUAAGACAAGUAGAGAGGUGCUAUAUACAGCCUCUUACUGCGAAUCAAGAUCAGUAGGGAGCCACUAUUAAGAGCCUCUUACUGCAAAUCAAGACAAGUAGUGAGGCGCUUUUAACAGCCUCUUACUGCGAAUCAAGACAAGUAGAGAGGCGUAAUCAACAGCCUUUUACUGCGAAUCAAGAAAAUUAGAGAGGCGUUAUUAACAGCCUUUUACUGCGAAUCAAGACAGGUAGAGAGGCGUUAUUAACAGCCUUUCACUGCGAAUCAAGACAAGUAGAGAGGCGCUAUUAACAACCUUUUACUGCGAAUCAACACAAGUAGAGAGGCGUUAUGAACAGCCUCUUACUGCGAAUUAAGACAAGCAGAGUGGCGCUAUUAAUAGCCUCAACUGCGAAUAAAGACAAGUAGAGAGGUGCUAUUAACAGCCUCUUAUUGAAUCAAGACUAGUGGAUAGGCGCUAUUAACAGUCUCUCACUGCGAAUCAAGACAAGUAGAGAGGUGCUAUAUACAGCCUCUUACUGCGGAUCAAGAUCAGUAGGGAGGCACUAUUAACAGCCUCUUACUGCGAAUCAAGACAAGUAGAGAGGCUUUAUCAACAGCCUCUUACUGCGAAUCAAGACAAGUAGAGAGGCGUUAUCAACAGCCUCUUACUGCGAAUCAAGACAAGUAGAGAGGCGGUAUCAACAGCCCCUUAUUGAAAAUGAGGACAAUGCAAAUUGAAACAGAACACAGAAAAAACAGAAAUGCGCGUAAACAUUUUUUUGAAAACUCAGCCAUAAGUAAUACAAACCAAACUGAAACAAGUUAGGUAGCCGGAGGUAUAAACAGACUCAUAUGACUAGUCAUCAAAGCAAAUUAGUCCUCAGCUGGCAUAUGGUCUGUCGGCUUGUAAUGUUGUCCCUCUUGGACAAUCGUAGAAACCGUCUUCAUUCGUUAGAACUCAUUAAAAAUAUCAUAUACACUUAGUAGAGAUGUUCCCUUGGAUCGGUACACUGAUUGUGGUUGGUGUUUUUGGUAUUUUCAUCAUUGAACAAUCUUCGUCUAUGUUUUAAAGACGCCAUCAUCACUGCGUUAAUCAGAAACGAAUAUAUAUGACAUAUGAUCGUAAACGUUCUAUAUUUGUUUCAUGACUUAUAACCGUGAAAUACCUUUGUCUGUCGCUUAGUUAAACUUUGUACUUUUCGGGCUGGAUAAAACCAAAAUCUUCAAAAUUUGUAUUUUCGCUAUAAGAAUUUAGGAUUAAAGGUAAAAACCAGAUUAAUUUGUCAGAGUAUGUCAUGAUUUGUCUUUCUGUGGAUUGUUACCUUGAAAGCUAGCACGUUAUAAAUCAAAAGGAGAGUGUCUGUAUAGUACAAUGUAGGGUAUAUUAACAUCCAACUAUUGUGUUUUCACUUUAGAUAUGCAUGAAAUAUUUGCCACUGGACGUUAAGCAAACGCCAAUUUAUCAUUCAAUCAAACCAUGGAAUAGUCCAAAUUUAUUAUUCUCUUGUUCUAUUCUUAUCUAUUUGCAAUAUUCAAGCUCAUACUUACUGAUUUAUAUUCUGUAAUCUCAUUGGGAUAUAUUGUGUGACAUUACUUUAAAUCGAAAAUAAGGUAUUUUAUACGAUCCCCUUAAAAUCAGAUCCCCGCCAGUCGAAAGAAGUCUUGUUAAAGCUAUAGAUAAAAUAUUAAGCCUUAAGAAGUUAACAUAAAACAGAAGUUAAUGUAUCAUAAUUACUUUACCGAAUAUAAGGAACAAUGCUAAUCAAAUGAAUUUAACAUCUGCUGCAUACAGAUUAUGCUUACGUGCUGCAAAAAAGGAAUGCAACAGGUAAUUGUCAUUUUAAAAUGAUACUCAAAAUUCCAAAUCUGAUGAUGAUUAAUCCAUAUUUAACCAUACUUACACAUGCAAUAUAUACAGAAAUUAACAGUAUUAAGACAGAAAGAGUACUAGUACUUAAGUGACUGCAUGAAAUGAAAAUUAGUUUUUCGGGAUCCAUAGGACAAUGUAAGACUGAGAUACUCAAACUCAGAUUAUUCGUCAGAUACCACGUUCAACCAUUACCGUGAUUAUAAUAUCUCUUUAACGAACCAACGCUUAUCCAUUGCGUCUCCUAUAUAAAACUAACGUAUCAUUACGUUGUGAACUCGUCUAUGCUCAGUAUUAUGUUUU